CGGAACGCCCUUUUCAUAUCUCUGACUUUUAGUUUCUGUUAAACUGGCCUGUUUGUACCUUAAAUUCAUCUGAUCACCUAAUACAUUCAGGCUGUCAAAAUGGGAUUCCAAGUUAAAGUAAAUUCACCCAGCGGGGAAGAAAAGAUCAUCGAUCUGUGCGAAAAUGAAGAAUACAUCAUACAGAGUAUGACUGCUGGAGAACUAAAGAAGACAAUUGCUAAAGAACUAAAUACAGGCGAUAAUAUACGGAUGAUUUUCGGAACCGAGACAAUGGAGGAAAAGACCCUUCUGGCAUACUAUGGGAUCCGGCACAUGUCUACCAUUCAUGUGGUGCUGAUACUGCCCGGAGGCAUCUGAACUGAUGGACGACAGCCUGAAGAAAAAGACCAGAGGUUCUAAACAACAACAACACAAAUCAAAGGAGCGAAAUCAGUGUUUGAAUGCUGAAAACAAAUAAAGACAUUUUGACCUAA